GACGCGCCUCAUCCCUAACGUGAAAAAACCUCUCCUCACUGAACUCGUACUUUCUCUCUCGAUCUAAUGAACAUAACAACAACAACAGUAUACCGUCUCUCUCUUGAUUAUCCUCUCAAUAAUCCCCUCGAUCUCUAUUCGUUCUUCCCUCUGCUUUCAUUUUCUCACGAUUCUCUUGGUUCAGUUUUAAUCAAUCGAAAUAAUCGAACAAACAGAAAAACCCUAGUCCCCAAAUUGACCCCUUAAGUCGAUCUUUGAAACCCAAUAGACCGGUCUCUUUAUCAAUCAAGCGAAUCAAGCACUUUGCGAUUGUGUUUGGGUCAUUCUCGGCCAUUCUUCUACAAGGUAAACAAGAACUAUACAUUAUAUAAAACUAAAGUUCUAAUUGUUUGGUUGUUUCUUUAUGCAUAACACAAUUUACACAGUUGUAAUGAAACACGAACGAAAGUAAGAACACAGAGAAAACACUGAGAAAGUAAUGAACCGAUUCUCCUUAACGAUCAAGUGAAGUCAGCAUAGGAAUGCUCUCAUGAAAGUAUUAGGAUCAUUAUCGGUUUUUUUAAGUGAAACAGACACGGUUUAAGGGAAACGGUAACAGAUUGAGUUUGUUCAAGGUUUUGAUAUCACCUCAGCACCAUGGAGUUCCAACUUUCUCCUCAAGGGCUUUUCAUCGGUGGUUAUAACGACUAUUUAGCCAUGGUAUUGGAAAAGAAGUUCCAAAGAGAAAACACCAAUCCACUAUGAUUUCAAGACUACAAAUUUACAAAGAAAAGCAGCAGAUAAAUAAAGUGUUUUUUCAGGUUUUGUGUACCCAUUUUGGUGAAAUGUUUGGACUAGUUACAGCAGUAAGUUUAUGGACUAUUUUGUCUAUUGCUGCAGGGCUGUUUUGGACAGCAAGGAUGCUUUUGUGCAGGAGUAGCAUGUGGACAAAUUCUCUUGCAAAGAUAGGGACAAGGCAUAAGCAAAGGUUUUUUUUGAAGAUGAUGAAGCUAAUAACAUAGGUUUAGAGAACUUUGGAUCAUGACUUUAGGAAAUUUCAUGUAGCUUGAAUCUUGUAUUAAUUUCUUGAAUUGAAUAAGAACAUUUUCCUUAGAAAUAGUCCUUGUAGAAUUUGAUGAACUUUUGUGAA